AUUGAACGCUGGCGGCGUGCUUUACACAUGCAAGUCGGACGAGUGGCGAACGGGUGAGUAACGCAUCGGAACGUAGCGAGUAAAGGCGGAAAACUGUCCGAAAGGACAGCUAAAACCGCAUAUUACUCGAGCGGCCGAUGUCUGAUUAGCUGGUUGGGGGGGUAAAGGCCCACCAAGGCGACGAUGCGUAGCGGGUCUGAGAGGAUGAUCGGCCACACUGGGACUGAGACACGGCCCAGACUCCUACGGGAGGCAGCAGUGGGGAAUUUUGGGCAAUGGGCGCAAGCCUGAUCCAGCCAUGCCGCGUGUCUGAAGAAGGCCUUCGGGUUGUAAAGGACUUUUGUCAGGGAAGCGGUACCUGAAGAGUAAGCACCGGCUAACUACGUGCCAGCAGCCGCGGUAAUUC
rnacentral:rRNA from 1 species